CCCUUAGAUGUUCUGGGCCGCACGCGCGCUACACUGAUGAAUGCAACGAACUCUACCCUUGACCGAAAGGCCCGGGUAAACUUGUGAAACUUCAUCGUGAUGGGGAUAGAUUAUUGCAAUUAUUAAUCUUCAACGAGGAAUUCCUAGUAAGCGCGAGUCAUCAGCUCGCGUUGAUUACGUCCCUGCCCUUUGUACACACCGCCCGUCGCUCCUACCGAUUGAAUGGUCCGGUGAAAUCUUCGGAUUGCUGACCAAGAUCCAGCAAUGGAGCUUGGUUGCGAGAAGUUGAUUAAACCUUAUUAUUUAGAGGAAGGAGAAGUCGUAACA
rnacentral:rRNA from 1 species